CAGUCGCCGCGGUAAUACGUAGGUCCCGAGCGUUGUCCGGAUUUAUUGGGCGUAAAGCGAGCGCAGGCGGUUAGAUAAGUCUGAAGUUAAAGGCUGUGGCUUAACCAUAGUACGCUUUGGAAACUGUUUAACUUGAGUGCAGAAGGGGAGAGUGGAAUUCCAUGUGUAGCGGUGAAAUGCGUAGAUAUAUGGAGGAACACCGGUGGCGAAAGCGGCUCUCUGGUCUGUAACUGACGCUGAGGCUCGAAAGCGUGGGGAGCAAACAGGAUUAGAUACCCCGGUAGUCCCUGUCUCUUAUACA
rnacentral:rRNA from 1 species